CACAAGCAAGGCCAACAUUUGUUUCUUGCACAGCUACACCAUUUUCUUUGUUCAGAAGUGCAGUUGUAUUUUCUCUGCCUGCAGAACUCUCAUCUUUUGCACCUAUUUCAAAAUUUAAGGACCUUCUACAUGACAUUUCGGCAGCUUCAGUUGUGUUUCCUUUUGAUUGUGCGGGCUUCGGGGUAGCUGGCUUCGGAGUUCUUUUGGGUUUUCCUUCUCUAAUAACCUUGGGGCGGUGCUUUUUUCUCCUUGUCUUUUUUUCUGGUAUUUUAUUCAGACCUGUACAGAGGCUGUUCGCCUCAUCUGGGUUGUGAUUCUCCUUCAAUGGUGAAGAAACAGCAGUAAAUUCCACAACAAGGUCGCUGAGUUCUUUGUUCGGCAAGGGUUCAUCCUUGUCAAGCAUUUUGGCAGGGUCGCCCUGGGAAGUUCUCUUGCUACAGCAAGCAUUGUCGGAUGUUUCUGCAUCAAAAGUUCAAAUAAAACUGAGAAUAAAAGCAAUACAGCCCCCAGUUUCAUAUACAGUAUUAAAAGGGAGUUAAAGCUGAAACUUUUGACAAGGAAAUAUUGAACUGAAGGCUAUGCCUCUGGAACAAAAGGUUGUAUGAUUUCCAUAGGGCAUCACAGUCUCAAGAUUUACAAGUUUCAAAGGAAAUUGUACUCUAAUACGCAGAUAAAUUUGUUUUAAGUAGAAAACUAGUUCUUUCAAUGAAAGCUUAAAAAUUCAAAAUUGAAUACACAAUUCUUCAUUUAUGUACAAAACCAGUGAUAAUGGGAAAAAAAUAACAUACUAUUUGCUUAGGAGCUAGAUUGAAACUACUAAUACAAUAUGAUAGCUAAUCACCGUAUGAACACUUUUGAUCAAAGAUAUGUUUGGUGUUUGACACGUGUCAGCAAACACCGAAAGCCCACACAUUCAAUUAAUCCAUUUUCUCAAAUUAUUAUC